GUCAUCCUGAUAGUGAAUGAGUUCUCACAAGAUCUAAUGGUUCGACAAUGGGGCUUUCUCCUCUUUUGCUUGGCAAUUCUCCUUUCUGCUUCCAUGUGAAGAAGGACACAUUUGCUUCCCUUUUUGCCAGAGUUGUAAGUUUCCUGAGGUCUCCCCAGCUAUGCUAAACUAUAUGUGCAUGGCUGUUUUUCUUUCAGCACAGACAUCACCUCCUAAGAAAGGCAUUCCGUGCCAGACUGAGAGACAUGAGAAAUACCUCAAAGUGAUACGAAGUUGAUAGACCCCUGCCACACAAAUACAACACUGAAGAUGGAUUUUCAUCAAACG